rnacentral:rRNA from 1 species
GACAGAGGUGCCGAGCGUUAGGCGGAAUCAGCUGGGCUUAAGCGUGUGUAGGCUGGAUGGGUAAGUACCUUCGUGAAAUCCCACGGCUCAACCGUGGAACUGCUCGGUAUACGUGCUCGUCUUGAGCCAACUAGGGCGACCGGAACAAACGGUGGAGCGGUGAAAUGCGUAGAUAUCGUUUGGAACGCCGAGUGGUGAAACAGGUCGCUAGGGUUGUGCUGACGCUGAGACACGAAAGCCAGGGGAGCGAACGGG